rnacentral:rRNA from 1 species
GUUGCAGUUAAAAAGCUCGUAGUUGAACCUUGGGCCUGGCUGGCCGGUCCGCCUCACCGCGUGCACUGGUUCGGCCGGGCCUUUCCCUCUGGGGAACUUCAUGCCCUUCACUGGGUGUGUUAGGGAACCAGGACUUUUACUGUGAAAAAAUUAGAGUGUUCAAAGCAGGCCUAUGCUCGAAUACAUUAGCAUGGAAUAAUAGAAUAGGACGUGUGGUUCUAUUUUGUUGGUUUCUAGGACCGCCGUAAUGAUUAAUAGGGACAGUCGGGGGCAUCAGUACUCAAUUGUCAGAGGUGAAAUUCUUGGAUUUAUUGAAGACUAACUACUGCGAAAGCAUUUGCCAAGGAUGUUUUCAUUAAUCAGGAACGAAAGUUAGGGGAUCGAAGACGAUCAGAUACCGUCGUAGUCUUAACCAUAAACUAUGCCGACUAGGGAUCGGACGAUGUUAUUUUUUGACUCGUUCGGCACCUUACGAGAAAUCAAAGUGUUUGGGUUCUGGGGGGAGUAUGGUCGCAAGGCUGAAACUUAAAGAAAUUGACGGAAGGGCACCACCAGGAGUGGAGCCUGCGGCUUAAUUUGACUCAACACGGGGAAACUCACCAGGUCCAGACACAAUGAGGAUUGACAGAUUGAGAGCUCUUUCUUGAUUUUGUGGGUGGUGGUGCAUGGCCGUUCUUAGUUGGUGGAGUGAUUUGUCUGCUUAAUUGCGAUAACGAACGAGACCUUAACCUGCUAAAUAGCCCGUAUUGCUUUGGCAGUACGCUGGCUUCCUAGAGGGACUAUCCGCUCAGCGACGAGUUUGAGCAUACAGUCUGUGAUGCCCUUAGAUGUUCUGGCGCACGUCGCGUUACAACUGAA